GGAGAGGUGGCCGAGCGGUUUAAGGCGCAGUCCUGGAAAGACUGUAUACCCAAAAGGUAUCGAGGGUUCGAAUCCCUCCCUCUCCG
rnacentral:tRNA from 1 species